rnacentral:misc_RNA from 1 species
GUAAUUAAUAAUUUAUGAAUAUUCAUUAGCUCGUGAUGGAUGGAGGAGGUGUGACGAAGAUGGAGACACAGGAGCACCUUGGCUCUCUGUCCAUACCAGGAGAAGAAGGCACGAAAAGGAUAGAAGAAGAGGAAAAUGAUGAUGCAGAAGAUGAUGAUGAUGAAGAUGAUGAAGAGGACGAUGAUGAGGAUGAUGAUGAGGACGAUGAUGAUAAUGAUGAGGAAGUAGAUGAGCCUAAGCUGAAGUAUGAGAGAAUAAGCAAUACUUUGGAGGAUAUCCUCAACACAGAUGCAGCCAGCUAUCUCGCUGUUCACAUCAAGUUUCUUGCUAUUGGUACCCAUUGGGGAGUGUUACAUGUUUUGGAUCAUCAAGGUAAUAACAUCAGUGGGAAAGAAUUCACUAAGCACACAACAACGGUAAAUCAGGUUAGUAUGGACAUGAACGGAGAUUACUUGGCUAGCUGCUCCGAUGAUGGAAGGGUUGCUAUCAUUGGAUUGUAUGAAGGAGAGCACAAUCAAGUCCAGUCCUUUGACAGACCAGUCAAGGCCGUGGCUCUCGAUCCCAAGUUUUCCCGUCCCGGAAGUGGAAAGCAGUUUAUUACAGGAAGUGAUCGGCUUGUUCUCCAUGAGAAAGGGUUCUUGGGUCGUAGCAAGUCCACCAUUCUACAUCACGGUGAAGGACCAAUCAGAAGCAUCAAGUGGAGAGGGUCAUUAGUGGCAUGGGCAAAUGAUCUGGGGGUUAAGGUAUAUGACAUGCAAUCCAAACGACGGAUCACCUUCAUCAAGAGGGAUCACCCGGAGGCUAUGAGACCAGAGAUAUAUCGAUGUAAUCUUUGUUGGAAGGAUGAUAAUACUCUCCUCAUUGGAUGGGCUAAUACAAUCAAGAUUUGCUCUGUUAAGGAGAGGAUAACACCAGAGAACAAAGAUUUACCAAGCAAAUAUGUUGAGAUAACAUCAAUGUUUUCUACUGACUUUACUGUUUGUGGAGUGGCUCCGCUUAGUGAAGAUCUGGUGGUUCUUGCUUUUGUGACCAGUGGGCCAAAAAAUGAUGGUGAAGAGAGUGGUGCUCGACGACCUCAGUUGAAGAUCAUAACACCUCUUCCUGAUGAUUAUCAGCUGGUGACUAGUGAUGCAUUAUCAAUGAGAGGCUUCCAGUCAUACAGACCAAAUGACUACCAUCUUGAAUAUGAAUCAGAUGAAGGGGUAUUUUACAUCGUCAGUCCAAAGGAUGUAGUGGUUGCUAGGCAACGAGACAUGGAUGAUCACAUCACCUGGCUCAUAGACCAAGAGAAAUACGAGGAGGCAUUAUCUGAAGCUCGUAUCCAUCACAAGGAUCUGGUUAAGAUUCGACCUCUAGACGUCGGCCACACCUAUCUAAAUCAUCUUAUCAGCACAGGAGAGUUUGAUAAAGCUGCUAGCCUCUGUCCUUUGAUUCUUGGUAAGAGCAAAGACCUUUGGGAGGAGGAAGUCUACAAGUUUGCCAAGCUUCAUAAACUCAAAGUAAUCAGUCAGUACAUUCCCAAGGGAGACAUGAGACUCUCUAAAGCAAUCUACGAGAUGAUACUAAAUGAAUACCUACAAACUGAUCUUCAGGGUUUCAAUAAAUUGAUCAAGGAAUGGCCUCAUGACCUGUAUGACCUGAUGACCGUGGUGUCGGCUGUUAUGGAACGUCUGACCAUUGACCCAAGGAAUCCUGUCUUGAUGCAGACUCUGGGGGAGCUCUACAUUUAUGAUCAGCGCUACGACAAAGCUCUUGCCAUUUACCUCGAAUUGGGGCAUGCAGAUGUGUUUAAGCUGAUUCACAAACGCAAUCUCUUUGACUCAAUCCAGGAUAAGAUUGUUCUUUUGAUGAAAUUUGACACUACUCAAGCCAUUGAGAUGCUCAUCACAAACUCUGACAAAGUAGCUGUUAAGAAAGUUGUAUCUCAAUUACACGAUCAUCGCCAGCUAUUGUAUCAGUACCUUGAUGCAUUGUUCCAGAAGGAUCCAAACCAAGGCAAAGAUUUCCAUGCCAUGCAAGUUGAGCUUUACGCCGAGUUUGACAGACCACGCCUUCUUCCUUUCCUCAAGACCAGUAACUUCUAUCCUUUACAGCAGGCCUUAGAACAAUGUGAACAGAGGAACUUCAUCAAGGAGAUGGUCUUUCUUCUUGGUCGGAUGGGUAACACCAAGCAAGCCCUGAGAUUAAUCACGGAGGAAUUGAAAGAUGUUGAGCAAGCGAUCAUCUUUGCCAAGGAACACGAUGAUGUAGAGCUAUGGGGUGACCUUAUUGAUUACUCAAUGGACAAACCACGUAAGACCUUAUUGAUUACUCUAUGGACAAACCACCUUUCAUCACCGGACUCCUGAACAAUAUUGGUACACAUGUUGAUCCUAUUAUACUAAUUAAGAGAAUUAAAGAAGGAAUGGAGAUUCCAGGGCUUAGAGAUUCACUUGUAAAGAUUCUACAUGACUACAACUUACAGAUCAUGUUGAGAGAAGGAUGUAAGAAGAUUCUGGUAUCGGAUUGUUUCUCGCUGAUGCAGCGGCUUAACAAAAUUCAGAAGAGAGGGGUCAGAAUAGGUGAUGCACAAACAUGUGAUUGCUGCCAUCAACCACUACAAAACACAG